rnacentral:rRNA from 1 species
UACGUAGGGGGCAAGCGUUGUCCGGAAUCAUUGGGCGUAAAGCGCGUGUAGGCGGCUCGAUAAGUCUGCUGUGAAAGUCCAGGGCUCAACCCUGGGAUGCCGGUGGAUACUGUCGAGCUCGAGUCCGGAAGAGGCGAGUGGAAUUCCUGGUGUAGCGGUGAAAUGCGUAGAUAUCAAGUGGAACACCAGUGGCGAAGGCGAGUCUCUGGACAUUUCCUGACGCUGAGGCACGAAAGCCAGGGGAGCAAACGGG